GUUUUAUCCAGAGCACUUAGAGCACCAGAGCACUUAGAGGGGGCCUGCUCAUUUGGACCUCAGAAGGCUCCCUUGCUCACAGGAUGUGCAUUUGUGUUACAGCGCUGGGUACGCCGGAAUUUUGGUUAUUACAUUUGGCUUCUAGAGAGAUGGCAGCAGAGAGUGAUGGGCACAUUUUGUUUCAGGAAGAAUUGGCUAAACGCAGCUGUAAGACACACUGUCCCCACAGCACGGGCAGCGCCUGGGUCCUUCUGCAGAGCCGGCUCUGGGUGGGCAAAGGGCCCAUCUCCUCCAGGGCAGGGUCUCGGCUCACACCUUUGCUUGGACUCACCUAUCUGUUUGGGAACAGAUCCCCUCAUCAGAAAAAAGGUGCUAAGACUAAAGGAUACCACACCUCUCUCUCUGAAGGCAGAGAGUGGGGACCAAGAAGGUGAUGGGGAAGCAUGUGUUGGUGCCCUCAGCACCUGGACCUUGAAGGUUUAAGGACAAACCCCAUCUAUCACCCCCUCUUCCCACCAGCUCUACUGGAGUCGCCCACCCAGGAGCGUAGCCAAGCCCGUCUUAAGCCUACAUAUCCUUUUUACUUAUUCUUCUCUUUAUAAUAUGAUUAAUCACAAUGAUAUGACUUUGGAAUGAUUAAUACUAAUAUGAUUAAGAGAGAUAAUAUACACUAAAAGGCUUUGUAAACUGGGAGUCAGCAGAUAACAACUGCAGAAAAGGAGCUAAAUUUUGGUAGCACCUACAGAGCGCCAGUCUCGGGGCUGGGUCCUGCCAGCCUCAGCACAACCCCAAAGAAGAGUAGUAUUAAACCCAUUUCACAGGUGUGUGUGGGGGUGCAGCUUCAGGGAACUCAGAACACUUGGCCAAAUCACAGAAGUGGACUCAUAACUUCUUCUCGACCCAACAAUCCCAUCUCCAGGAAUCCAUCCCAAAGGUAUAAGCAGACCAACAUAAAAAUCAUGUUCAGAAGAGCUCUGGCAAGUAGCUAUGGAAAACUGUAAAUAAUCAAAUGGCUAAUUACCAGAGGCUGGGUAAAUAAAUUAUACUGUAUUUGUAGGAUGGAGUGUAACGUCGCCACUACAAGAACCAGGCAGAUCUAUAGCCAUUAGCCCAAAAACGUGCUCGUGAGAUGUCACAUAGUGGGGUGGGGGGAAGUAGAUUACAAGAUAGCACUAAAUAACAUUUUAAAAUAAAAAGUCCACAUGGUUCCGUGCCCAAAAAUAGCUUAAAAGUUCAUACACCCAAAACAUUGAGUUAUUAUAUCUGGAGGGUGGAAUUUCAUGGGAUUCCUAUUAGCUUUUUACUUUUCUGUGUUGUUAGAUUUUUAAACAUGGGCACGAACGAUUUUCAUCAUUAAAAAGGAACAGUAGAGCCGUGUCCAUUUUACAAAGAAGAGGCCACUAAAAGCCCCAUAUGGACUCCCUUCACUGCAGAGAAGGGGGUCCUUUUAUUCACCUAAAAAUAUGCAACCUCUCCCUUAGGGCCCCUCCCUCUGGACUGUUGGGAGGGCGCAUGUCUGUGACACUUAGGUGGUCCAUGGGGUGGGACAGCCUUGGUCCCUUCUCUUUUUCUAUGUGGAUGGGUGAUUUCCUCCCAUCCAGGGGUGUGGGAAUGCAGAACACAGGAUUCUAAAGCAUUUGAAAAGGAGGGAGCCUUGGUGAGCCAUCUGGUCUACCCGUUUCUGCAUCCAGCUGCUUCUACCUUCAGCCUCGGCCAUUCCGAAUGGCCCACUCUGAAAAGAAUGCAUUGCAGCCUGGAGAAAGCUUCUCCUGGACCAGAGGAGGAGCGUGUGGGCUCUGGACUCUGGCCAGCAAGCUGCCUGCCUGCCACUGGCUGCCCCCCCAGCUCUUACCUCCUCCCAGCCCCCAUUCCACAGCAUGACUCCAACAGGAGGCUUCAGGACAGCAGAACAAUUUAAUUCCUAUUACAGUAUAAAAAUUAAUAACAUUAAAAUGUCAUGAUCAUCCCACACUAAUUAAGCAUCUAAUGAAUAAUUAGCUGUGGACACAUCUGACAUUUUUGGUCAUUAAUUUGAGCAAGUGUUUUAAGUUCCAAACAAAACCCCUCUGUGGUGGAGCCUGCAUCUCUGUGUUCAGUGACAGAGACACAUACAAAAGCACCCUGCAUCCCCCGCCCUGCAGGGAGGCAGGAAUGGGGCAAGGGGCUGGCCAGGAUGGGGGUGGGGCAGCUGCGCUGGGGAGGGCGUGAUGCAGGGCAGGGGCUGAUGUGAAGACUUAGGAACCAUUCAUGCCCGGAGCCCCUGAGCCCCUGAGUCUGAGCCACCAGGCUUCCCCAUCCUUCGGCUCGGCUGCUCACUCAGGGGCCAGGAUCAGGCAGACUGAUGUAUUGGGGUCCGUGGUCCCCCAAUCUGUUGCCCUCUGAGCCUGUUAAGCACCAAGCUGGAGCAAGAGCUUGGGGUCAUUUAGCAGACGUCUGAUCUGGCAAAAGUGCAGUCAGGGGUCUGAGGCUCACUCAAGGCCUCAUCCAAGGGGGGACCAAAGGAACAGUUGCUUAGGAGACCAUUGGAGUCCAAACCCCUCCAUCCGCCCCCCACUGGUGCUUUCAUUUCAAGAUGAGCUGGGAUACGUGGGAGAAGUCCCCCUUGCAGAGCGACAGCCUGGCGUCCCUGCAAGAGCCCUGGAUGGGCUUAAACCCAGGGUGCCAGCCCCUGGCUGCGAGACCAGCCCUGCCUCAGCCCUUAAGAAGGUUAUGAGCUCAGUACUCAAACACGUAACCCCAGGAGGAAACGGGGGCGCAGAGAGCUUAAGUGACUCAUCCGAAGUCACAGUGCUAGAAAGUGGCAAGGCUAGAUGAGAAUCAAGCCUUCUGGAGCCAUUGUCUGUUUCAGAUGCUGCUCCUUACGGCUGCUUUCUUUCUAACAUCUUAAGGAACCUUCCCAAGGUCACAGGAGCAAGGAGCUGCUGGAGCCAGAUGAAAACCGCCGGCGAGUGAGUGAGGUUGAUCCGGGGAUGUGGUCUCAGGAGGAAGGAGCCUGCAAGGGCACCCCCCCCCGGGCUCUCAAGGUCACACAGAAA